rnacentral:lncRNA from 1 species
GGCUGGAAUCCCUCCUGGACAGGCCUAAGUGACCCAGGAGGCUCUCACGUGGAGUCCCCAGAACAGCAUCAACUCCUCACGAUGCUCCUGACGGUGGUGGACAGACUCUCCAUGCCCCGAUGAAGUUGACUUGCUGUGCUCAGAUCCUCCAUUCAAGAGAGCUACAGACACGGGGGUGCUGGUGAGCAGGAGCCGAGACCAUCUGGGGUGGGACCGACCAAGAGUUUGAGGUGUCCAGGGGGUGACGUGAAGAUGACCUAUUGCAGAGGGUCCCUUCUCAUUCACGCUCUGAAGUCUGCACAGGGGCAGGGGCUACCGUGCUCCAUUUCAGUUUGGCCUCUGUUGUAUCAGCCAGAGGCCAGCAGAACUCUAUGGUCACUCCCCCGUGUCACGGACAAUUUGCCACCUCCACCGGCAGCCCAGGGCUCUGCCUGAAUAUUCUCGCCUGAUCGUAGGAUUGUGGGGAGGGAUAUUCUCAUUGAUCUCUAAGGAAAAUAUUGUUCGCUUUUUAAAAACAUGAUCUGGUACCAUUUCAUUGAUCUCUUUAAGGAAGAAAAAUCACAUGGUUGUCAUGAGCAUGUACCGACAGAGCUAGGAGGGCCAGCUGUUCCGGGUUGCCCAGGGCUGUCUUGUUUUUAAAAUGGAAAGUUCGAUGUCCUGGAAAACCCCUCAGUCCUGGGCAAACCAGGUCACGCUGGAUAGAAGGAGUUAGACAUUCAUAUGAUGUGCCGAUGUCUUGCCAGUUGUAGAGUUUUGUGUAAACCUGUGUGUGGCCUGCGUGUCCACAUGGGUGUGUAGGAUGGCACCUACACACAUACCUGAGGUCACCUCUUGGUCCAGUGAGCCAGAAUCCUGGGACUUCAUCAUCUUUUUUUUUUUUUUUUUUGAGAUGGAAUCUCACUCUGUCACCCAGGCUGGAGGGCAGUGGCGCAAUCUUGGCUCACUGCAACCUCCGCCUCUGGGGCUCAAGCAAUUCUCCUGCCUCAGCCUCCCGAGUAGCUGGGAUUAUAGGCGUGUGCCACCACGCCCUGCUGAUUUUUGUAUUUUUUAGUAGAGAUGGUGUUUCACUAUAUUGGCCAGGCUGGUCUUGAACUCCUGACCUCAAGUGAUCUGCCUGCCUUGGCCUCCCGAAAUGCUGGGGUUACAGGCAUGAGCUACCAUGCCCGGCCUCAGAAUCCUGGGACUUCUGCUGGAGCCAGGGGUCAGAACAGACUCCUCUACUGGGACUGCCUGGCAGGGAGGACAGACGCUCAAGGCGGCCCCAUGAGAACACAGCCACCUGGAAAAAUGGUGGAAGGGAAGAUUCUGCCAACCUCCUCCGACUCCCUAUCUCAGUUACACUGGUCCAUAAUUUCUUUUCUUUUUCUUAAGUCUGUUUCAUUGGUUUCUGUUCCUGGAAAAUGGACACAAUUCUGAUGAAUUCAUGUAUUCUGCAUCCACGUGUCAGCAUCUCCAGCCUUGUGACGCAGUGCCUGGCUCAGAACAGGCAAUCAGGCCAUGGCAUCUGAAUGAAUGAGAGGGUGUGCCCUGGCCGUAUCUCAGGCAGCAGAUGCAUUCAGCUGCAGGUAACAGACACGUAGACAAACAGUGGCUUAAAAAAGAGAGGCUUUAAAAGUAUUUUGUUUUUCUUUCUUCACGUAGCAAGAAGUCUGGCAUUUGGCAUUCCCAGGCUGUGGCGUGACAGCUUUGUGAAGUUAUCAGGGUCUCAGACCCUGACAUAUUUCUGCUCUGCUACCCUCAGCAUGUAGAUUUGAUCUUCACGGCUACAAGAAACCUGCUGCUACUGCAGGCAUCUUACACGAGUUCCAGGCAGGAAGAGAAAGGAAAGGGUGACAGAGACAGAAAGCAAUGUCCCCAGAUACCCUUAGUUUUCCAUCUCAUAAGCCAGAAUGAUGUCACGUGGCAUCCCUGGAUGCACAGGAGGCUGAGAGAUAGUGGCGUUUGUUAGCUGGUCUCCUAGCCAUCCUGAAUGCCAAGUUUGUUAUAAAGAAACAGAGGCAAAAUGGCGAUCAGGCAGGCAACUGGGUGGUCUCUGCCACGGGCCCCUUGGCCAUUCUUUGUAAUGAUGGUCUUUGUCUUGGACCCUAUUUUGGAUAUUUGGGCACCUUUGUGGUACCCUUAUGUGCUGGUUUUGCUGUUGUCUGCCCUUCAGGAAUAGCAGCUGAGUCAAGCUGUCCUUGGCUGCUCCAAUCUGGAGUCAGAGGUUGGAGAUUUCCAUGGCUCCCCAUGGCUCCUUGGGGCCUCCUAAGAAAAUGUUUUAAUAAGGAAGUCCAAGGCUGAGACAGACAUGCUCCUUCUUAGAGACACAUGGGAACAUGCCUCUGCUCACAGCUGGUAGCCACAGAUGUAAACCGUAGCCCAUGGAACGGAGACAGUGAAGAAUUGAUGGAUAAAUGAAUAAUGAUGAUGGACAGCAGAUGUAUAAAAGGCAUAAAAGGAUAGUGUUAGGGCUGGAAUGUCUUCCCCCCAAUUCAUAUGUUGAACCUUUAAUGCCUAAUACUUCAGAAAGAGACUGUGUUUGAAGAUAUGGUCUUUACAGAGGGAAUAAAGUUAAAAUAAGGUCAUUAGGGUGAGCCCUAAUCCAAAGGAUGGGUGUCCUAAUCAGAGGAGGAGAUUAGGACCCAGACACACACACACACACAGAGCCAGGUGAGGACACAGGGAGAAAAUGGCCACGUACAAGCCAAGAUGAGAGGACUCAGGAAGAACCAGCCGACUCCACCCUUCAAAACUGUGAGAACAUAGAUGUCUGCUGUUUGAGCCACCCUGUCUGCAAGCAGUCAGCAAGCAUUCAUUGAGUGCUUGCAGUAUUCAAGGCACCACAGAUACAAUGUUGAAUAAGGCAAAGCACCUGCCCUCAGGUAGCUUGCAGUCAGGGAGGUAAGGGUAGUGGGCAGAGAGACCUGGAAACAGAUAUUAGACCUGCACUAAGCAUGUGUGGUUAUUGAACAGUAAAAAUGCCACCACAAAUUGCGAUAUGAUGUAAGUAAAAUGCGUACUGGCUAUUGAAGACUUGGCACAGAAAAAUAAUGUAAAAUCUCAUUAGUAAUGGUUUUAUAUUGAUUACGCAUUGAAAUAAUACUAUUUUGGACAGAUUGGGUUAAAUAAAAUAUUAAAUUUGAUUUCGCCUGUUUCUUUUAUUUUCAUUACUUAUUGGCCAUGAUAUUUUAUUUAACUUUUAACUUUUAUUUUAGAUUCAGUGGUACAUGUGCAUGUUUGUUAUACAGGUAAACUCAUGGGGGUUUGGUGUACAGAUUCUUUGUCACCUGAGUACUAAACUUAGUACCCAAGAAUUAUUUUAUCUGAUCCUCUCCCUCCUCCCACCUUCCACCCUCAAGUAGGCCCCAGUGUUUGUUGUUCCCCU